rnacentral:tRNA from 1 species
GGCAACGUGGCUGAGUGGUCCAAAGCGAAUGACUAGAAAUCAUUUCCCUUCGGGGGCAUAGGUUCGAAUCCUGUCGUUGUCG